UAGGGAAUCUUCGGCAAUGGACGAAAGUCUGACCGAGCAACGCCGCGUGAGUGAAGAAGGUUUUCGGAUCGUAAAACUCUGUUGUUAGAGAAGAACAAGGACGUUAGUAACUGAACGUCCCCUGACGGUAUCUAACCAGAAAGCCACGGCUAACUACGUGCCAGCAGCCGCGGUAAUACGUAGGUGGCAAGCGUUGUCCGGAUUUAUUGGGCGUAAAGCGAGCGCAGGCGGUUUCUUAAGUCUGAUGUGAAAGCCCCCGGCUCAACCGGGGAGGGUCAUUGGAAACUGGGAGACUUGAGUGCAGAAGAGGAGGGUGGAAUUCCAUGUGUAGCGGUGAAAUGCGUAGAUAUAUGGAGGAAAACCAGUGGCGAAGGCGGCUCUAUGGUCUGUAACUGACGCUGAGGCUCGAAAGCGUGGGGAGCAAACAGG
rnacentral:rRNA from 1 species